AUCCAGCUGACGAGUCCCGUAUAGGACGAAAUGCGCAUCCUGGAU
rfam:Trichobilharzia regenti genome assembly, scaffold: TRE_scaffold0043167